AUAGCGUAUAUUAAAGUUGUUGCGGUUAAAAAGCUCGUAGUUGAAUCUGUGUCCCACGCUGUCGGUUCGCCGCUCGCGGUGUUUAACUGGCAUGAUUGUGGGACGUCCUACCGGUGGGCUUAGCCCCUCGGGGCGGCCCAACUAAUAUCCCAUCGCGGUGCUCUUCACUGAGUGUCGAGGUGGGCCGGUACGUUUACUUUGAACAAAUUAGAGUGCUUAAAGCAGGCUACUUUCGCCUGAAUACUGUGUGCAUGGAAUAAUGGAAUAGGACCUCGGUUCUAUUUUGUUGGUUUUCGGAACCCCGAGGUAAUGAUUAAUAGGGACAGAUGGGGGCAUUCGUAUUGCGACGUUAGAGGUGAAAUUCUUGGAUCGUCGCAAGACGGACAGAAGCGAAAGCAUUUGCCAAAAAUGUUUUCUUUAAUCAAGAACGAAAGUUAGAGGUUCGAAGGCGAUCAGAUACCGCCCUAGUUCUAACCAUAAACGAUGCCAGCUAGCGAUCCGCCGAAGUUCCUCCGAUGACUCGGCGGGCAGCUUCCGGGAAACCAAAGCUUUUGGGUUCCGGGGGAAGUAUGGUUGCAAAGCUGAAACUUAAAGGAAUUGACGGAAGGGCACCACCAGGAGUGGAGCCUGCGGCUUAAUUUGACUCAACACGGGAAACCUCACCAGGCCCGGACACCGGAAGGAUUGACAGAUUGAGAGCUCUUUCUUGAUUCGGUGGGUGGUGGUGCAUGGCCGUUCUUAGUUGGUGGAGCGAUUUGUCUGGUUAAUUCCGAUAACGAACGAGACUCUAGCCUGCUAAAUAGGCGUACUUUCCGGUAUCUCGAAGGCCCCCGGCUUCGGUCGGGCGGUUUUUACUACCGGCGUACAAAUAAAUCUUCUUAGAGGGAC
rnacentral:rRNA from 1 species